rnacentral:rRNA from 1 species
UACGUAGGGGGCAAGCGUUGUCCGGAAUUACUGGGCGUAAAGGGCGUGUAGGCGGUCUGAUAAGUCAGACGUGAAAUCUCUGGGCUUAACCUGGAGGCUGCGUUUGAAACUGUCGGACUUGAGGACCGGAGAGGGCAGUGGAAUUCCCAGUGUAGCGGUGAAAUGCGUAGAUAUUGGGAGGAACACCAGUGGCGAAGGCGACUGCCUGGACGGCACCUGACGCUGAGGCGCGAAAGCUAGGGGAGCAAACGGG